UUAACUCGAGGUGAAAGGGUUCAAUGAAUUCCAAGAACAGGCAUGAGGAGUCUAAAAAGACGUCGUGUUAUGCUGAAGUAUUAAGAAUUUGCAGAUGCACCGGGAUGGUGGCUGUAGGGAAGUGGUGAAAUGUACUCAAAAGAGAUUGGGUGGGGAGGAGGGUCUUUAACUCUGUGAGGGGGCGCCCAUGCACAUUAGCCUCCAGGAGAUAACAGCUUGUUCCCUCUUGGAAAGAGACACACAUUGGUUCCCAGGACUGCCCACCGCUCUGAGGACAAGUGCCCACUAAAGACUGCGGACAGACUGACUGCAGUUGGAGAGGGUCACCAAGACGAUUCAGAGGGCACCCUACAGAGUUCCACUGCCCUUGCAGGGUCAUUUUGCUGCAUAGUUCAAGCCGACACAGCUGUUGGAUCUGAUGGCUUCUUCCGCACGCCAGACACUGUCACUUCGGGUAACAGGUAUGAACCAGAAUAUGCAAAAGCUUAAUGAAAUAUUGCACGAAAGACUCAUAAGCAUCAGUGAAAUAUCUCAACUGACCAGGCACCUUAUUUGUGAAAGAGCCUCCGAGCUGCCGUUCACCUUCAACUCUGAAGGAUCACAUACACCUUUACCAGGCUACCUGUGGAGUGUUCCAGGAGCUUUGCACAGUCUCGGCAGGGAAGC